rnacentral:rRNA from 1 species
UACGAAGGGGGCUAGCGUUGUUCGGAUUUACUGGGCGUAAAGCGUGCGCAGGCGGUUAUGCAAGACAGAUGUGAAAUCCCCGGGCUCAACCUGGGAACUGCAUUUGUGACUGCAUGGCUAGAGUACGGUAGAGGGGGAUGGAAUUCCGCGUGUAGCAGUGAAAUGCGUAGAUAUGCGGAGGAACACCGAUGGCGAAGGCAAUCCCCUGGACCUGUACUGACGCUCAUGCACGAAAGCGUGGGGAGCAAACAGG